rnacentral:rRNA from 1 species
UGAACGCUAGCUACAGGCUUAACACAUGCAAGUCGAGGGGCAGCAUUUCAGUUUGCUUGCAAACUGGAGAUGGCGACCGGCGCACGGGUGAGUAACACGUAUCCAACCUGCCGAUAACUCGGGGAUAGCCUUUCGAAAGAAAGAUUAAUACCCGAUGGUAUAAUCAGACCGCAUGGUCUUGUUAUUAAAGAAUUUCGGUUAUCGAUGGGGAUGCGUUCCAUUAGGCAGUUGGUGAGGUAACGGCUCACCAAACCUUCGAUGGAUAGGGGUUCUGAGAGGAAGGUCCCCCACAUUGGAACUGAGACACGGUCCAAACUCCUACGGGAGGCAGCAGUGAGGAAUAUUGGUCAAUGGGCGCAGGCCUGAACCAGCCAAGUAGCGUGAAGGAUGACUGCCCUAUGGGUUGUAAACUUCUUUUAUAUGGGAAUAAAGUUUUCCACGUGUGGAAUUUUGUAUGUACCAUAUGAAUAAGGAUCGGCUAACUCCGUGCCGGCAGCCGCGGUAAUACGGAGGAUCCGAGCGUUAUCCGGAUUUAUUGGGUUUAAAGGGAGCGUAGGUGGACAGUUAAGUCAGUUGUGAAAGUUUGCGGCUCAACCGUAAAAUUGCAGUUGAUACUGGCUGUCUUGAGUACAGUAGAGGUGGGCGGAAUUCGUGGUGUAGCGGUGAAAUGCUUAGAUAUCACGAAGAACUCCGAUUGCGAAGGCAGCUCACUGGACUGCAACUGACACUGAUGCUCGAAAGUGUGGGUAUCAAACAGGAUUAGAUACCCUGGUAGUCCACACAGUAAACGAUGAAUACUCGCUGUUUGCGAUAUACAGUAAGCGGCCAAGCGAAAGCAUUAAGUAUUCCACCUGGGGAGUACGCCGGCAACGGUGAAACUCAAAGGAAUUGACGGGGGCCCGCACAAGCGGAGGAACAUGUGGUUUAAUUCGAUGAUACGCGAGGAACCUUACCCGGGCUUAAAUUGCAUUUGAAUAUAUUGGAAACAGUAUAGCCGUAAGGCAAAUGUGAAGGUGCUGCAUGGUUGUCGUCAGCUCGUGCCGUGAGGUGUCGGCUUAAGUGCCAUAACGAGCGCAACCCUUAUCUUUAGUUACUAACAGGUCAUGCUGAGGACUCUAGAGAGACUGCCGUCGUAAGAUGUGAGGAAGGUGGGGAUGACGUCAAAUCAGCACGGCCCUUACGUCCGGGGCUACACACGUGUUACAAUGGGGGGUACAGAAGGCAGCUACCUGGUGACAGGAUGCUAAUCCCAAAAGCCUCUCUCAGUUCGGAUCGAAGUCUGCAACCCGACUUCGUGAAGCUGGAUUCGCUAGUAAUCGCGCAUCAGCCAUGGCGCGGUGAAUACGUUCCCGGGCCUUGUACACACCGCCCGUCAAGCCAUGAAAGCCGGGGGUACCUGAAGUACGUAACCGCAAGGAGCGUCCUAGGGUAAAACUGGUAAUUGGGGCU